UCCUCCUCCUCCUCUUCUAUCAACAUCUCUCCGUCCGGCUGCUGUCGGCUCAUCGGCGUCGUCAGGAUGGUGGAUAAAGGAACCAGAGUGUUUAAGAAAGCCAGUCCUAAUGGAAAGCUCACCGUCUAUUUGGGGAAGAGAGACUUUGUGGACCACGUGGACCUGGUGGAGCCUGUUGACGGCGUCGUCCUGAUCGACCCGGAGUACCUGAAGGAGAGGAAAG